rnacentral:rRNA from 1 species
ACACCGGCAGCUCAAGUGUGGCCAUUUUUAUUGGGCCUAAAGCGUUCGUAGCCGGCUUUGAUAAGUCUCUGGUGAAAUCCCACAGCUUUAACUGUGGGAAUUGCUGGAGAUACUAUUAGGCUUGAGGCCGGGAGAGGCUGGAGGUACUCCCAGGGUAGGGGUGAAAUCCUAUAAUCCUGGGAGGACCACCUGUGGCGAAGGCGUCCAGCUGGAACGGACCUGACGGUGAGUAACGAAAGCCAGGGGCGC